AAGAUUGUGUGUGUGCUACUAUAGUCCCGAGUGCAUUGAGCGUAAUAGAGUCCCGAAGCCACGACGUAGCGUUGUCAAGGCAGCGAUAUCACUGGAUCUAAACAAAUCAAUCUACCAUUAGAAAUCACCA